AAGAGGCGUGUGCAGUAUGGCUGCAGUUCCUAGUAUGGCAAUCUCGUGUAUUAUGAGCUCGUGCCUGAGGAUGUGCUGUAAGGGAGACAGCACAGGAUCACCAGCUGCCAUAUGGAGAGCUACCCCAGAGUAAAGUCCAGGUUGCAAGGAACUGACAUCUGCUUCUGGCCAACAGCUGUGGAAGUAAGGCCCUCAGUUCAAUAGCCAUGAAGAACUGAAUCCUGUCAACAAACUCUGCUGUUUGAGCUUGAAAACAGACCCUGCCCUAGUUAAGUCUAAAGAUGACACUGCAGUUCUGGCCAACACCUAAUUGCCACGCUGCUAGGACCCAGCUAAGGCAUGCCCAGAUUCCUGACCCACAGAAAAUAAAAUAAAUAAGAUGAUAAUAUGUUAGCUGUUUUAA